UACCAGCUCUCCGAGUGGUGUGGAUGUUUAUUGGGCCUAAAGCAUCCGUAGCUGGCUGGGCAAGUCCCCUGUUAAAUCCACCGAUUUAAUCGUUGGUGUGCGGGGGAUACUGUUCGGCUAGGGGACGGGAGAGGCCGACGGUAUUUUCGGGGUAGGGGUGAAAUCCUAUAAUCCCGGGAAGACCACCAGUGGCGAAGGCUGUCGGCUAGAACGCGCCCGACGGUGAGGGAUGAAAGCUGGGGGAGCGAACCGGAUUAGAUACCCGGGUAGUCCCAGCUCGUAAACGAUGCAGGCUAGGUGUUUGGGCGGCCACGUGCCGCUCUAGUGCCGCAGAGAAGUCGUUAAGCCUGCCGCCUGGGGAGUACGGCCGCAAGGCUGAAACUUAAAGGAAUUGGCGGGGGUGCACCACAAGGGGUGAAGCUUGCGGUUU
rnacentral:rRNA from 1 species